CAAUGGAAUUUGUUUGAGAGAAGAAUGAACUCCUUUAUAUUGCAGACGGAAGGACAGAACCUGCCUGUACAAAUCUAUCCUACGCUGACCUAAGCAGAAGCAUUAGAGGUCAUAUAAAUGUUCCUUGUCUUAGUUACUGAAUCUGGUUUCUGUAAUCUGAAGACACAAUGAAGAUACUUGAAGUUGAACCGGAAAAGCAGUACAUACAAGAUUUAUUGUUCCCGAUGGAAUCUUAGUCCUGCUGCCUUUUAUAUCCAUUCUGAUAUCACUGAAUCAACCUGAAGUCCUAUGUAUAAAAGAAGGAAUUAUUUUAGAUUUUCCUGAGGCUCAGCCUUCAUCACGAUAUAAGAUAUGCAGUUGUAUCACCACCAUCCCUGCAACUCUCUUCCUACUCUCAAGUUUUCUGGAUUUCUUGUUACUUAUUGAUUUCCAACUUCCAAGGUCUGCGUAAGAUACCUUUCUGGUUAAGCUCCUGUACUGAUCUCUCUCUUUUUUUAUUAUUAUUUUUUAUUUUUUUGUUCUGUAAAUUAAUGCUAGUUAGUGAUUGCUACUUGGGUCACUGUCAUCUUCUGCUCUCUCAUCCCAAGUGUAUUACAAGAAUGAAAAACUAUUUAUGGUUGAACUGUACUAACUCUGUCUUCCUUUACUGCACUUACCUGAAGUGCUCUAAAAGGACUCAAUGAAGGACAGGGAAGUAUUUUCAAAUUAUAGCUGUGAGUGAUGAUCAGAGAAUAAGAAACCUCCGACCUGAAAUUAGAGGAGCUGUUGACACCGGCUACAAUUCUGAAUAGUAGUUCAAAGCCAAAGAAGAAACAAUAAUAUUAUGUCAUUCACUGGGAAAAAAAAAAAUAAAAAAUCCACUGUUAGAUUUUUAGCAAAUAAACAAGUAUAUAUGAUUACAGAGAGGGAAAAAAAAGGAUUUUUGGAACUGUGUCUAAGUUUGAAUAAAAUGCUUUUAUGUGUUUACAAAAUUAUUUUAAAGGAUGAUUGUUGAUCUGCUGAAGCCUUCUUGAUUCUACAUUUUUCUCAGUUUGAAUUAUAAAAACUGUAAUUGUAUAUUCUGAACCUAGAAGAGAAAAUCUAGAAGGCUAUUCUGAUUUUUUCUAACCAUCUGUUGAAAAACGUCAUGAGCACUUGUUUAUCUGCACUUCUGUAAGUUCUCAACAUUGAUUGUAUUUUAUUUUCUGUAUCUAAUUACUCUUUAGAAUGAUAUGUUUAUACUACUGGAAAACUUCUAUUUUAGAGUGGAAUUAUGCAUACAGUAUUCAUAUGGAUCUGAUCAGAACUGAAUAAUGCAGAUAUUUUUAUAAGUACAUCUUUUGAAAGGAAACAAGUGUCAUAAUAUAUUUAAAAACCCACCACCUUUCAAGAAAUAAUGAUACAUCUUUUGUGAGCUGGAAGUUCAAUAUGAAUAUUCAUUAAAAGUAAUGAUGAUAUCCUGACUGUCUUGUGGGAAUAUUACUGUAGCAUCAGAAAUUCCUCCUGAAUUCUUCAACUGAGUUUAUGCUGCCAUAUUUAUUCUAAAAUUCUGGAAAUCUUGUGAAGGCAAGAUGCAAGUGAGAUUUCCAGUAUAUGCAGAACUGCAUCCCAGCCUUAUAUAUAGUAAGUGCAACAUUUGCUAUGUUGAAUUAUUAUUGUUAUUAUUAUUAUAAUUACUGUUGUUGUUGUUGUUGUCAUUGUUACUGUUAUUAUUGUUAGGUUGCUUGUUUUAGCAAAGACAUAAAGUGAAACAGGUAAGUAAGACAGGGAUCUCCUGGAAGGAGUCCAGUGAAGGGCCAUAAAGGUGAUAAAAGGCUUGAAGCACCUUCCUUAUGAGGAAAGGUUGAGCGACCCAGGGCUGUUCAGCCUUGAGAAAAAAAGACUCAGAGGGGAUCUGGUCAGUGCCUAUAAAUAUCUAAGGCGAGGAAAGCAAACAAACAAGGCCAGGCUCUUUUCAACAGUGCUUGGUGAUAAAACAAGGGGAGAUGGCCACAAACUGAAGCACAGGACGUUCCACACACAUGUGCAUAAGAACUUCUUGACAGUAAGGGUAAUGGAGCACUGGAACAGGCUGCCCAGAGAGUCUGUGGAGUCUCCUUCUCUGGAAAUGUCAAGACACACCUUGAUGCCUGGCUGUGCAACCUGGUCAAGGGAGCAUGCUUUGGUAGGGAAGUUGGACUAGAUGAUCUCUAGAGAUUCCUUCCAGACCCUACAGUUCUGUGGCUCUGUGAAAUAUGUGAGUUGGAGUUACGAUAACAGAAAGAGUUAGUGUUAGUUUUCUUAAGAUCAAAUACAAAAAUAAAGGGAGGUUGAGAACAUCAUCUUCCUAAUAUUAAUUUUCUCUGUUUAAAGGAAUGGUAAAUGUAUAUGCAAAUGUUCUUAUACUGAGUCUUCGCUGAAAAUUGGAGCUACUUAAUACAAGUGCUGAAUUUGGUUUCUUCUUCACAGAAACUUUCCAUAUACUGACAUAUAAGAAUGCAUUACUCAGUGUAACAGAUUUCAAAUGCUCACCAUUCCUGAUUCAAGCCAUUGGCUUUCUUGGCUACCUGGGCACACUGCUGGCUCAUAUUCAGCCAACUGUCCAUCAGCACACCAAGGUCCCUUUCUGUCAGGUGGCUUUCCAGCCACUCCUCCCAAGCCUGGGGUUGCCUGGGGUUGUUGUGACCAAAAUGCCGGACCAGACACGUGAUUCUGUUGGAACUCAUACAGUUUACCUUGGCUCAUCGAUUCAGGUCCCUCUGUAAUGCCUUUCCUCCCUCUGGCAGAACAACACUCCCUACCAACUUGGUGUUAUCGGCAAACUUACUGAGGGUAAGUCAUUUCAUCCCUUCAUCAAGAUCAUUAAUAAGGAUGUUAAAUAGAAGCGGCCCUAGAACAGAGCCCUGGGGGACAAUGCUCGUGACUGGCCUCCAACCGGAUUUAACUCCACUGACCCCAGCUCUUUGAGUUCGGCCAUCCAGCCAAUGUUUCAUCCAGCAGAGCGAAUGCCCAUCCAAACCAUGGGCAGCCAGCUUCUCCACGAGGAUGCUGUGGCAGGCAGCGUCAAAGACUUUACUGAAGACCACAUCAACAGCCUUACCUUCAUCCACUAAGCAGGUCACCCUGUCAUGGAAUGAAAUUGGGUUUGUCAGACAGGAUCUUCCAUUCAUAGACCCAUACUGUCUGGGCCUGAUCCCAUGGCUGACCUUUAAUUGAUCCAUGGUGGCUCUCAAGACUGUCCGUUUCACGACCUUCCUUGGCACCAAGGUGAGACUGAUAGGUGUGUAGCUACCAGAAUCAUCUUCCUGGCCCUUUCUGAAGAUGGUCUUCAUAUCUGCCAGUCUCCAGUCCUCCCGGACAUUCCCAGUUAGCCAGGACUGUUGAAGGAUGAUGGAGUGUGGUUUGGCAACUACAUCCACCAACUCCCUUAGCACUCCAGGAUGCAAUCCAUCUGGCACCACGGAGUUGUGAGUGUCCACGUUUCAGAGCAGUGUCCAGCUUUUUCCUUUUCCUUUUCCUUUUCCUUUUCCUUUUCCUUUUCCUUUUCCUUUUCCUUUUCCUUUUCCUUUUCCUUUUCCUUGAACUAGGUCAUUAUUGGAAAGAUUGUUGGUUUGUUUUUUUUUAAGGAUGAUAUUUUAUUUCUAUUCAGUGUGUAAGCAAUCAGAAAUGUUUUACUAGUGAAAAGAUAGAGCACAUUAUUUGGAAUUGAUAGCUAAUUUAUUUUAUUAUGAUUACCUGGAAUAACUUUUGCCACAAGAUUUUGAUUUAAAUUUCUCUAAUACUACUGAUUUAAAGGUGACUUUAACAUUCCUCUGCAGAAGCUCUUUGUGAACAGUAAAUUAUUUUCUCUAACAGCAGCAUAGUGUCUUAGUCUCCUACAUGAAUGAGGUUGUAAACCAAAGUCCUAUAGAAAUAUAUCUACGCAAAGAUCAUUCCCAGUGUAAUAUUUUUACAGCACUAAUAGUAACUGUGUAAUUCAUAUGGUAUGGUCUGCUCCAGUCUUGGAUAAAAGAGCUAAUUUUUGAUUUAAGUGAAUGAUUUUGUUAGGUAUCACAAGUUCAAUCCCUGCUGGUGUUACGCUGCCAUUAUGUCUAAAAUCUACUGUAAGCUAUUUCUGUUUGUGUGUAUGAACUGAGCAAAGAACAGCAGUGCUGUGCUCGGUGUCAGUGCAUAUACCAUGACUGAGAGCAAAAUAAAUGAUUUUCUUCAGAUGGUAGAGGCCGAAGUAAGAAGUUAAGUUUUAUUUUGCUCAGGAUUUGAAUGACGGUACUAUAAAUCAUGGUAUAAAAAUAAUAGGCUGAUCCUAAAUUCUUGUACUGGAUACAGAGAUUGCCUUCAUAGCCCAGAAGUAGUGCAGAUUGUAGAAUUUUUUUACAACUAUUGUUAUUGUUAUUAUAGUCAUGUGUUAUUACCUAAACCCUGAUGGUGGAGCAACAAUUUGACUAAUUUUUUUUUCUUACAAUAAUGUCAUUUAGAUACGGUUAAAAUAGUGUUCUGUUUUAAGUUAUUGCAGACUGUAACAUUUCAAUGCACUGAAUAUGAGUUUAACAACACCUAACCAAUUAAGUUAAUUUGCCUGAAAAAUGUAC